GAAGCGGACAGAAUGGUCGCUCGCUUAGCCUGACUAAGCGGGAGGAAAGUCCGAGCUCCACAGGACAGGGUGCUGGGUAACGCCCAGUCCCGGUGACGGGAAGGAAAGUGCCACAGAGAAGAGACCGCCUCUGGUGGCUGCAGGGUCACAUUAUAUAGAGGCAAGGGUGAAACGGUGAGGUAAGAGCUCACCAGUCUCGAUGGUGACAUCGAGAGCUAGGCAAACCCCACCUGGAGCAAGACCAAAUAGGGGAGCGUCAGUAGGGUGGUCCGCCCGUUGCUCCCGGGUAGGUCGCUAGAAGCAUCGGGUAACCGGUGUUCCAGAUGAAUGGCCAUUGCCCUGGUUUUCGAAUCAGGGAACAGAACUCGGCUUACAGUUUCGCUUCAGCA
rnacentral:RNase_P_RNA from 1 species